rnacentral:rRNA from 1 species
UGACCAGACUCCUACGGGAGGCAGCAGUGGGGAAUAUUGCACAAUGGGGGGAACCCUGAUGCAGCGACGCCGCGUGAGUGAAGAAGUAUUUCGGUAUGUAAAGCUCUGUCAGCAGGGAAGAAGAAAGACGGUACCUGACCAAGAAGCCCCGGCUAACUACGUGCCAGCAGCCGCGGUAAUACGUAGGGGGCAAGCGUUAUCCGGAUUUACUGGGUGUAAAGGGAGCGUAGACGGCUGUGCAAGUCAGAAGUGAAAGCCCGGGGCUCAACCCCGGGACUGCUUUUGAAACUGCGUGGCUGGAGUGCAGGAGAGGUAAGCGGAAUUCCUGGUGUAGCGGUGAAAUGCGUAGAUAUCAGGAGGAACACCAGUGGCGAAGGCGGCUUACUGGACUGUAACUGACGUUGAGGCUCGAAAGCGUGGGGAGCAAACAGGAUUAGAUACCCUGGUACC